AUUGAACGCUGGCGGCAUGCCUAACACAUGCAAGUCGAACGGCAGCACGGCAGUAGCAAUACUGUGGGUGGCGAGUGGCGGACGGGUGAGGAAUACGUCGGAAUCUGCCCAGUCGUGGGGGAUAACUAGCCGAAAGGUUAGCUAAUACCGCAUACGACCGAGAGGUGAAAGCGGGGGACCGCAAGGCCUCGCGCUGUUGGAGCGGCCGAUGUCAGAUUAGGUAGUUGGUGGGGUAAAGGCCUACCAAGCCUUCGAUCUGUAGCUGGUCUGAGAGGACGACCAGCCACACUGGGACUGAGACACGGCCCAGACUCCUACGGGAGGCAGCAGUGGGGAAUUUUGGACAAUGGGCGCAAGCCUGAUCCAGCCAUGCCGCGUGCGGGAAGAAGGCCUUCGGUUGUAACGCUUUGUCUAGGAAGAAACGACUCCGGCGU
rnacentral:rRNA from 1 species